rnacentral:rRNA from 1 species
CCGGUUUGGCACCUCGAUGUCGGCUCAUCGCAUCCUGGGGCUGGAGAAGGUCCCAAGGGUUGGGCUGUUCGCCCAUUAAAGCGGUACGCGAGCUGGGUUCAGAACGUCGUGAGACAGUUCGGUCCUUAUCCGCCGCUGGCGCAGGAUACUUGAGGGGACUCGUUCCUAGUACGAGAGGACCGGAACGAACAGACCUCUGGUGCACCGGUUGUCACGCCCGUGGCAUACGCCGGGUAGCUACGUCUGGACAGGAUAACCGCUGAAAGCAUCUAAGCGGGAAGCCUCCCCCAAGAUGAGGUAUCCCUGAAGGGCCCUGGGAGAUGACCAGGUUGAUAGGCGCUAGGUGUAAGCGUGGUGACACGUUGAGCCGAGGCGUACUAAUAGCCCGUUCGACUUGACCGCACC